CCGAAGAGCAUCGAGUUUGCCUUCGAAAGCGGCCCAUAGAGUCGGAGUCAUCCCGUCGUCAUCUUUGGUGUUGCAAUCUUUUCUAGUUGCUUCCUUUAAAAUAUCCAGCUUUCCAUCACGUGCCGCACUAGUUUAGAAAGGACAAAAACGUUACGCUCCGAUUGUGUCGUCAUUCGCUUGUUGCAACGACCAAACAAUUUGGAUUCAUUGCCACGGCAUUUCAGUUCUUAUCAAAAGAGAAAUUGGAUCAGCCACACAGCGAAACGUCAGUGUGGGCCAUUAUGAUGCGAUAACAGAGCAACACUUCACUGAUAAACCGAAAUGCCCCGAUUCCAAGCGGACUAUUUUAUCCUUGUACUGAUAGCACUCGUGUCAGCAAUCGGCGAUUGUGCACGCAUCAAACGGGAAUUUUCAAUGUUAACAAAGUCCCAAGAUUGACGUUAGAUUAAAUUGUCUAUCGCGAUAAGUUAAUGUUGAAAGCAGUGCUAGUUUUUGGGUGGCAAGUUAUUUGUAAAAUGUAUUAAAAAGUGAGUGUUUUAAUACUUUUGCUCACCAAGCAAAAAGAUGGAUUCGCAUGUAAAGUUCCUAUCAUUUGACAUUGAAAACAAUGACGUUUCCUUUUCA